AGGAUUCCCCUAGUAAGGGGGACUGAAGCGGGAAGAGCUCACAGUGUGAAUCUGCACUCUAGUAGUGCCGAAUUGUGGUCUGUAGAAGUUUGUGUUUGGCCGGCCGGGUUAAGUCCCUUGGAAAAGGGCAGCAGAGAGGGUGAGACUCCCGUUCUUGCCUGGGUUUGGCCAUUUGACACUUACUUUCAACGAGUCGAGUUGUUUGGGAUUGCAGCUCAAAGUGGGUGGUAAAUUCCAUCUAAAGCUAAAUAUGGGUGGGAGACCGAUAGCGUACAAGUACCGUGAGGGAAAGAUGCAAAGAACUUUGAAAAGAGAGUUAAAGAGUACCUGAAAUUGCUGAAAGGGAAGCGAAGGAAACCAGUGCUUGGCUUGGUCAUAUUUCUCGAAUCGCUUGCGGUUUGGGCGCUGUGUCGUUGCCUUUGUCAUUUUUGCUUGUUCUCGGCGGAAACGUGUGUUCGGGAGGUAGCGCUUGCGUGAUACCGUUCACAUUAUUGCUGGGUUUGAGUGAGGCUGACGAAAUGGUUUUCUUUACCCCGUCUAGUAACACGGACCAAGGAGUCUAACAUAUGUGCGAGUACAGGGGUGGCAAACCCCCGUGCGCAAUGAAAGUGACAGUGGUUGGACCUUUUGGGCACAAUCCGCCGGCCUCAAUCCUUCGGGAGAACGGUCUGAGUGUGAGCAUACAUGUUGGGACCCGAAAGAUGGUGAACUAUGCCUGAAUAGGGUGAAGCCAGGGGAAACUCUGGUGGAGGCUCGUAGCGAUUCUGACGUGCAAAUCGAUCGUCAAAUUUGGGUAUAGGGGCGAAAGACUAAUCGAACCA
rnacentral:rRNA from 1 species